CAAUAAAGCCGAAUGAAAUCGCUGUAUUAGCUUCCUUAAUCUUUGUCCAAAAAGGAAAAAUCUCCGAACAAACAAACAGGUCGCAACGGGAAAAAGAAGGAAGGACGGUAAAUUAGGGUGAGAAGCAAAACAAUGGAAAGAGGAAAGAGGGGGAGACGAUAAAAUAAAAAUCAGUAGCGACCAAAACAGAGGGGGAGGGAUCCCGCUUGUCUGGGUUACACCUUAUCCCAUCCAUCCGGGCAUCACAUUCCAAUAAUCAUCCAAUACGAAUCCGUUUGGUUUUGUCGUCUGUCACACAAAAAUCAGAAAUCCCCCGAAUCGUCGCUUGCCCUUCGAUCAAACCCUCGAAGAAGAGGAUACCCAUUUGGCCAAUUCCUGAGAAUCCGUUCCCCCAUGGAGAACAACCAGCAAGCCCAGUCGUCCUCGUACCCCCCUCAAACCCCUGCUGCUCCUCCCCCUUUCCACCACCUUCUCCAGCAGCAGCAGCAGCAGCUCCAGAUGUUCUGGUCUUACCAGCGACAAGAAAUCGAGCAUGUCAACGAUUUCAAGAACCACCAGCUCCCUCUCGCUCGAAUCAAGAAGAUCAUGAAGGCCGACGAGGACGUCCGCAUGAUCUCUGCCGAGGCUCCCAUUUUGUUUGCCAAGGCCUGCGAGCUUUUCAUCCUCGAGCUCACCAUACGGUCGUGGCUUCACGCCGAGGAGAACAAGAGGAGGACCCUCCAGAAGAACGACAUAGCCGCUGCCAUCACCAGGACCGACAUCUUCGAUUUCUUGGUCGAUAUUGUGCCCAGAGAUGAGAUCAAGGACGAGGCUGGCCUUGGUGGCAUUGUGGGCACCACGGCCAGCGGUGUCCCUUAUUAUUAUCCUCCCAUGGGCCAACCUGCUGGCCCCCCCGGAGGCAUGAUUAUUGGACGGCCGGCGGUGGAUCCCACUGGGGUGUACGUGCAGCCCCCCUCGCAGGCUUGGCAGUCGGUAUGGCAGACCGCUGCUGAGGAUGGAUCAUACGGUAGCGGCGGCAACAGUGGACAGGGCAACCUUGAUGGUCCGAGGAUGGAGGAUUUUAAGGCCACCUGAGUCUUCUGUGGCAAACUAGGAGCUCAAUGUCAUGUUUGUUAGUCUCGUAUAAGCACUGGCGUCCUCCUCAACUUUUAUAUCGUCCAUUACCACUUGAGUGUGGUAGCUCAGGGAAGAACUUCAAUGAACAGAGGGAUUUAUGAAAGUAAUAGGCCAUCAUAGGAAGGGACUUAUAAGAGCUUCAUUCUGAAAAGCUUUUAAACUUCAAGGGGCAAGGAAGAUAUUAAUGCUGUUCUACAAGUGUCUUGCAUUCUUUUUAUCUCUUAGUCAAACGGAUCUUACCCUCCGCUCUAUGAUAUAGUUGAGCAACAAUGCGAAUGAUGCAGUGUUGACUGUUGGGGUUAUGCAGAUGGUGGCCUUGUGCUUGGAGUUUUUGAUUGCUUGCGAGAAAUGCUUUGUUAACUAUUAAUUUAUACAGGAUAACGUUCCAAACCUGUUAACUUGAUUUAGCAAAUGAACGACAUCAUAAUUUAACUGUUUGAUGUACAAAUAUUCGUAACUGAACGCUGAUCCUCUCUGUCUAAUGCAUGCCGCAACAUGUUUGAUAUGACCCUUUCA